CCUACGGGUGGCUGCAGUGGGGAAUAUUGGACAAUGGGGGGAACCCUGAUCCAGCCAUGCCGCGUGUGUGAAGAAGGCCCUCGGGUUGUAAAGCACUUUCAGUGAGGAAGAACGCCUGGUGGUUAAUACCCAUCAGGAAAGACAUCACUCACAGAAGAAGCACCGGCUAACUCCGUGCCAGCAGCCGCGGUAAUACGGAGGGUGCGAGCGUUAAUCGGAAUUACUGGGCGUAAAGCGCGCGUAGGUGGCUUGAUAAGCCGGUUGUGAAAGCCCCGGGCUCAACCUGGGAACGGCAUCCGGAACUGUCAAGCUAGAGUGCAGGAGAGGAAGGUAGAAUUCCCGGUGUAGCGGUGAAAUGCGUAGAGAUCGGGAGGAAUACCAGUGGCGAAGGCGGCCUUCUGGACUGACACUGACACUGAGGUGCGAAAGCGUGGGUAGCAAACAGGAUUAGAUACCCCGGUAGUC
rnacentral:rRNA from 1 species